CAAACCAAGCUCGUAUCCCACUCUCCUAUUGUCAACCCAUCUCUCUUCUCUACUUUCGAGCGCCACCAAGCUAGGGUUUGCGGCCGCCGCCAACCUAGCUCCGACCGGCACCGUGGAUAUCCUCUUCGGCUACAACUUGCAUGUUGUUUCCCCGCCGAGAUUCGUGAUGCAAUUCGAGGUUGCUUGCCGCAUGCUCCUUUCUCCAUAGGUUACAGGCCACCUCGAGGUUCCCCUAUCUGCCAUCCACUCCGUUGCCCUGACUCCCACUGGCCCGCCCCCCUCCCCGUACGCAACACUAUCAAUGACCGACUGGAGCAGUGACAGGACAACCAUCUUUGUCCCCAGUCCCAAUCUCCCACAAGACCCUGCAGCCCAAGAUCACUUCCGGCGGCCGCAUGUGCUUCCGCUCUGCCCUAGGGGCCGAGGUUGCACGGGUUGCUGAUGUUUCAGUCGAGUUCUUCGAUUUGGAUGUGGCAAGUGGGUUCAUUUUUUCAAUCUUUGUUCUCUGGAUCAUCAUCCUUUAGUUCUUUACCUAAUGUCUGAUUUGUUGGCAGAUUUGGUUUGUGCGUUUUCUUGCUUGAGGCACCAGUUUUAGAGAAAUAGGUAAUUUAAAAUUUUACUUUUGUUAGCUCUCUGGAUGGAGUACGUAAUUUCACUUUUGUCAGGAUGAUUUCUGUAUGCUUCAUGUUUAAUUUUUCCAAUGAUUUAGGUCUUUGGUCUCCUUUGAGUAUAUCCAGCAAACAAGAAAUUUCCUAAACCUGGAGCCUAUUAAGCACGAAUAGGCGAGUGGCUACAUCCUUUUGUGCCUAUCAGGGUCUCAAGGAGGAAGAAGCGGGUAGUAUUUUUUUGUCAUCAACUAUUUUUAGCAAAUUGCAGGCUGCAACAUGAGCUCAUGGACGGAAAAUAAUUAAGAGAGCAGAAGUUACAAGGAUAAUAACAUCAUUAAACUGCUAUUGAAUUUUCAAAUUACAUAGAGCAGAAGUGGCAUCCUUACAGGGAUAGUAUAAAACAUACUACUACCUUUCUAACUUCUUAUAAGACAUUUUUAGAGUCUAUGACUAUGUCAAAAAGCGUCUUAUAUUAAGUUAUACUCCCGUGUUACCUACUCUAGUCAUAUGUGGAAGUAGAGGGAGAGUGUCUAUGAUAGUUUCUACACCCGUGUUACCUACUUCAGUCAUAGUCAGUUAUUCAUUCUAGGUUGCAAUUAUCUCAGUUUGAAGUAGGCUAAUAAGACACGUAAUAAUAUCUCUGUCAAGAUAUGUUAGUCAUUCCUUUAAUGAAAAGAUUGUACUAACACAUUCUUCUCUACAGUUCCUAGAAUAUGCAUAUGUUUCAGACAUAUAUAUGACAUCUGUAUGUUGAUCAUGACUAAUUCAUUAGCAGUAAGCUGUUUUUCUUUUGUAAGGACUUCCUUUUAUUUCUCCUUUGUAUCAACAC
rnacentral:lncRNA from 1 species